AUUGAACGCUGGCGGCAGGCCUAACACAUGCAAGUCGAGCGGAUGAAGGGAGCUUGCUCCUGGAUUCAGCGGCGGACGGGUGAGUAAUGCCUAGGAAUCUCCCUGGCAGUGGGGGAUAACGUCCGGAAACGGGCGCUAAUACCGCAUACGUCCUGAGGGUGAAAGUGGGGGAUCUUCGGACCUCACGCUAUCAGAUGAGCCUAGGUGGGAUUAGCUAGUUGGUGGGGUAAAGGCCUACCAAGGCGACGAUCCGUAACUGGUCUGAGAGGAUGAUAAGUCACCUGGGAGCUUGAACACGGUCCAGGGGACUGAGGGAGGCAGCAGUGGGGAAUAGGGGACAGUAGGCGGAAGCCUGGUACAGCCGUGCGGCGUGUGUGAAGGAAAUGUUCGGAUUGUAAAGCACGUUAAGGUGGGGGAAAGGGCAGUAGGUUGAGACCUUGCUGUAUUGACGGUACCGAGAGAAGAAGCACCGGCUAACUACGUG
rnacentral:rRNA from 1 species